ensembl:lncRNA
GCGGUCAUCAAUUUAAAUUCAAUGAAAGGCAAUGCAGGUGUAAGCUUUCAUGGCCCCUGCCACGAUCUAGAUGAGUCACAUUUCUAAACGUGAAUAAUCUAUUAUUAGAGUUAAUUUAUUUAUUUAUUGCACUACACUACAGAGGAACAAAAUGGCCUAUCUGACAUUCCCUUAAAUAUAUCUCUUUAUUUACAACAAAGGAAACACUAUCAGCUUCUACCCUACACGUUUCUCGACCGAAGGGAAGGAUGUAAACAGAACUUCUCAUUCAGUUAGCGUAGCGUUAGCGAGCCCUGGUGGGUUAGCCCGGUUAGUUCGGUUUAAAAAUGUAAAAGACAAGAGUCAGAGUUAUUCUCGCUUUACAUUCAGGCGCUCCAGGUUGAGGUUAAUGAGUCUUACGAGGCAGCAGCAAGAGAGGACAGACGACAGGUUGGGGUGAACAAAUAAAAACACACCAAAACCGAUAAGCUCAACAUGAAGAAACUGUUGAAUUAAUAGCAGCUGUCCGAGGAAAAAAAAACCAAGACAAAGAAGUUAGCCCCGGUGAUCGACUCAACCAGGCGUCCAUUUUGGAUCCUCUCUCCCGUGAGGAGACGUUAGUAGCCAGCGGCGUCAAACACAGGGUGGUUGAGCGAGGCCGUGAGAGACCACACUGGAUGCAGUUGUUGUCCCCCCCCGCCCGGUGUUUAUCUUUUUUUAAAGUCGGGCCCCUGGUCAGACGGGCCGAGAGGAGGGCCCAGGGACGCGACGUCAUGCAGGAACUACCCCCUCCCACUACAUGGUCCUCCGAGGGUCUAAUGGGAAGAGACCGGGCCGCUGGGGAGAGACAGGUCAAGGGUCAGCGCAUGUUAUGAAGUCGACACUUAAAGGGCCCCUAUUUCACCAUCAGGUGAGAUCAUAAGACACACUUAAAGGGCCCCUAUUUCACCAUCAGGUGAGAUCCUAAUACACACUUAAAGGGCCCCUAGUUCACCAACAGGUGAGAUUAUAAUACACACUUAAAGGGCCCCUAGUUCACCACCAGGUGAGAUUAUAAUACACACUUAAAGGGCCCCUAGUUCACCGCCAGGUGUGAGGGUGAUCAGCCAUGACAAGCCGUUUGAAAGUCUCCCACAUGUGCCUGAGUGACAUCACAAGAGGGUGUGUCCACCUAGAUGUAUCCUGGAUAGAUCAGUCGACCAGCCUACCCAGUGGACUGUGGCAAAUGUUGCAUAUCUACUUGUCAUACAG